rnacentral:rRNA from 1 species
GACGAACGCUGGCGGCGUGCCUAAUACAUGCAAGUAGAACGCUGAAGGAUGUGUUUGCUUCUCUGGAUGAGUUGCGAUCGUGUGAGUAACGCGUAUGUAACCUGCCUGGUAGCUGGGGAUAUCUAUGGGAAACGAUAGCUAAUACCGCAUAAGAGGUGUGGUGGCAUGACAUUUGCUUAAAAGGUGCUAUGUUUGUUCACGCAGAUGUGUCGGUGUUGUAUUAGCUAGUUGGUGGGGUAACGGCUCACCAAGGCGACGAUACAUAGCCGACCUGAGAGGGUGAUCGGCCACACUGGGACUGAGACACGGCCCAGACUCCUACGGGAGGCACCAGUAGGGCACAUUCGGCAAUGGACGGAAGUCUGACCGAGCAACGCCGCGUGAGUAAAGAAGGUAGUCGGAUCGUAAAGCUCUGUUGUAAGAGAAGAACAAAAAAGAGAGUGGAAAGUUCACACUGUGACGGUAUCUUACCAGAAAGGGACGGCUAACUACGUG